UUCAGCGAUAUUUCUCUUACCCAUUUUAGGUAAUAAGAGAAAUAUGGCUCUGUCCUGCUUGGCCCACAGGCAGCCAGACUUUAAGGUUAUCUCCCUUGUUCCCUGAAAAUCACUGUUAUCCUGCUCUUAAGGUGCCCAGAUUUCAUAUUGUUCAAACACACAUGCUCUACAAACAAUUUGUGCAGUUAACGCAAUCAUCACAAGGUCCUGAGGCGACAUACAUCCUCAGUUUAUGAAGAUGACAGGAUUAAGAGAUUAAAGCAAAGACAGACAUAGGAAAUCACAAGAGUACUGAUUGCGGAAGUGAUAAAUGUCCAUGAAAUCUUCACAAUUGAUGUUCUUCUGCCGUGGCUUCAGCUGGUCCCUCCGUUCAGGGUCCCUGACUUCUUUCAACACCUAUCCUGUCAUUCUUUAGAGAGCUUGUUCCUGAAGCAUGGUGCUAAGUCCAUUUGCAGCAGAUGGAGCUCAUGAGAAAAGAGUUGCUCUUGUGAAGACCAAAGCUUGUUUGUCAGUUUCAAAUACUCAUGUAUCUGAUUGUCAAUGCUGGAGAGCUGGGGCCAGGGCAGUAGUUGAUGGAUAUCACCUGACUGUCUCCUGCAGCAAAAGCAUUCCCAGAAGCACGGAGAAGUGAGGAGAAAAGGCAAUGCACCUGGAGCUGGAGACCAAGACCCCGUUCUUACUGAUGGCCCUUGGAGCAGAUAUUUGAAUUGGAGAGAUAAAACCGUGGUUUUUGGGGUGUUAAUUUUGGUGGCUGAUGCAUUCUGUGAUUGAUUUGGCUAUUACAACUGGUAUUGAUUUUAAACACAUUAAUUGCAAAAUCUCAAUUGUGAUUUGAUUUCUGUAUUUACAAUACUAAAAACGAGGCUUUCGCCAGGAGAAGACAAUUGGCAGUACUCAGUUGGAAGUGCUUAAUUGUUAAUAUAUAUCAGCCGUGGUUCUUCAGCGUCGUCAGUGUUGCUCAGUCUUGCUCUUUGUGGCGACUACUGAAUGCUUGAAAAAUUCUCUCCUAUACUCCCACUCUGCGCUGUAGAAGAGAAAGAGAGGAGAGUGGAAGAAAAAAGAGAGGGAGAGGAGAAAGAAAGAAAGGAGAGAGAAACAUGGGCAUGGAUGAUACAUAAGAUAAUUCCAGAAGAUUUCAGCAUAGCAGAUAAAAUACAGCAAAUCCUAACCAGCACAGGUUUGAGUGACAAACGGGCCGGUUCCAUGGGCACAGAUGACUUCAUCAGGGGCACAGAGUUGGUUGAUGAAUGGAGGGCUGGAGCUUGAGGCUGGAUGUGUACCCCAGAAGGGUCUCUAAGAUUCAAAACCUUUUCAUACCAAUGUCCCUAAUUCCUCCAUGUUAUUGGCAUUGGACUUGAUCUCUCUUCAUACAUAUUUUUGUAUACAUAAGGUGUGCAAGGGUGUGUGUGCAUGUGUGUGUGUGUGUGUGUCAGGGAUAGGGUCUCAGA
ensembl:lincRNA